GACGAACGCUGGCGGCGCGCUUAACACAUGCAAGUCGAGCGAGAACCAGUCCUUCGGGACUGGGGACAGCGGCGAACGGGUGAGUAACACGUGGGUAAUCUGCCCUCGGCACCGGAAUAGCCCGGGGAAACCCGGAUUAAUGCCGGAUGGCCUCUCUGCCCCUCGGGGCGGUGAGAAAAGGUAGCUUCGGCCUCUGGCCGAGGAUGAGCCCGCGGCCGAUUAGCUUGUUGGUGGGGUAACGGCUCACCAAGGCGACGAUCGGUAGCUGGUCUGAGAGGACGAUCAGCCACACUGGGACUGAGACACGGCCCAGACUCCUACGGGAGGCAGCAGUGGGGAAUCUCGCGCAAUGGGCGAAAGCCUGACGUAGCGACGCCGCGUGCGGGAAGAAGGCCUUCGGGUUGUAAACCGCUUUCAGGAGGGACGAAGCCACUCGGGUGGCCCCGAGUAUGACGGUACCUCAGGAGGAAGCCCCGGCUAACUACGUGCCAGCCGCCGCGGUAAGAC
rnacentral:rRNA from 1 species